GGCGAAGCCGCGAGGUGGAGCAAAUCCCAAAAAUAACGUCUCAGUUCGGAUUGUAGUCUGCAACUCGACUACAUGAAGCUGGAAUCGCUAGUAAUCGCGAAUCAGAAUGUCGCGGUGAAUACGUUCCCGGGUCUUGUACACACCGCCCGUCACACCAUGGGAGUCAGCAACGCCCGAAGCCGGUGACCCAACCGAAAGGAGGGAGCCGUCGAAGGUGGGGCCGAUAACUGGGGUGAAGUCGUAACAAGGUAUC
rnacentral:rRNA from 1 species